rnacentral:rRNA from 1 species
GUAACACGUGGACAACCUGCCCUGAGGACUGGAAUAAUCCCGGGAAACUGGGAGUAAUUCCAGAUAUGCCAGGGAACCUGGAAUGGUUUCUGGCAGAAAUGCUCCGGCGCCUCAGGAUGGGUCUGCGGCCUAUCAGGGUAGUAGUGGGUGUAACGUACCUACUAGCCUACGACGGGUACGGGUUGUGAGAGCAAGAGCCCGGAGAUGGAUUCUGAGACAUGAAUCCAGGCCCUACGGGGUGCAGCAGGCGCGAAAACUUUACAAUGCGGGCAACCGCGAUAAGGGGACCUCGAGUGCUGGGUUACAAACCUGGCUGUUGGGCUGCCUAAAAAGCAGUCUAUAGCAAGGGCCGGGCAAGACCGGUGCCAGCCGCCGCGGUAACACCGGCGGCUCGAGUGGUAACCGCUGUUAUUGGGUCUAAAGGGUCUGUAGCCUGCCGGCUAAGUCUCUUGGGAAAUCUGGCAUCUCAAGUGUCAGGCUGCCAGGGGAUACUGGUCAGCUUGGGACCGGGAGAGGUGAGAGGUACCUCAGGGGUAGGGGUGAAAUCUUGUAAUCCUUGAGGGACCACCAGUGGCGAAGGCGUCUCACCAGAACGGAUCCGACGGCAAGGGACGAAAGCUAGGGGCACGAACCGGAUUAGAUACCCGGGUAGUCCUAGCCGUAAACGAUACUCGCUAGGUGUCGGCCACGGUGCGACCGUGGUCGGUGCCGUAGGGAAGCCGUGAAGCGAGCCACCUGGGAAGUACGGCCGCAAGGCUGAAACUUAAAGGAAUUGGCGGGGGAGCACAAU